rnacentral:rRNA from 1 species
UACGAAGGGGGCUAGCGUUGUUCGGAAUUACUGGGCGUAAAGCGCGUGUAGGCGGGUUUUUAAGUCGGGGGUGAAAUGCCAAGGCUCAACCUUGGAACUGCCUUUGAUACUGGAGAUCUUGAGUCCGGGAGAGGUGAGUGGAAUUGCGAGUGUAGAGGUGAAAUUCGUAGAUAUUCGCAAGAACACCAGUGGCGAAGGCGGCUCACUGGCCCGGAACUGACGCUGAGACGCGAAAGCGUGGGGAGCAAACAGG